rnacentral:rRNA from 1 species
CCCUUAGAUGUCCGGGGCCGCACGCGCGCUACACUGAAGGAAUCAGCGUGGCUUUCUCCCUGACCCGAAAGGGUUGGGAAACCCGUCGAAUCUCCUUCGUGAUAGGGAUUGGGGCUUGAAAUUGUUCCCCAUGAACGAGGAAUUCCCAGUAAGCGCGAGCCAUAAGCUCGCGUUGAUUACGUCCCUGCCCUUUGUACACACCGCCCGUCGCUACUACCGAUUGAACGGUUUAGUGAGGGCCUCGGAUUGGUCUCGGCCCGCUCUUUACCGGGCGGCGCCGUUGGUCGAGAAGACGCUCGAACUUGAUCGUUUAGAGGAAGUAAAAGUCGUAACA